rnacentral:rRNA from 1 species
AACGUACGCUGGCGGCACGCCUUAACACAUGCAAGUCGAACGAAGUAGCAAUACUUAGUGGCAGACGGGUGAGUAACAUGUGGGUAUCUGCCCUUUGGCCUGGAAUAACACGAGGAAACUUGUGCUAAUACCGGAUAAGUCUUUACGGAGAAAGCUUUAUGCACCAUUGGAUGAGCCUGCACUUGAUUAGUUUGUUGGUGGGGUAAUGGCCUACCAAGACUGUGAUCAAUAGCUGAUUUGAGAGGAUGAUCAGCCACAUUGGGACUGAGACACGGCCCAAACUCCUACGGGAGGCAGCAGUGGGGAAUCUUGCCCAAUGGAGGAAACUCUGAUGCAGCGAUGCCGCGUGAGUGAAGAAGGCCUUUGGGUUGUAAAGCUCUUUCGUCGGGGAAGAAAAUGACUGUACCCGAAUAAGAAGGUCCGGCUAACUUCGUGCCAGCAGCCGCGGUAAUACGAAGGGACCUAGCGUAGUUCGGAAUUACUGGGCUUAAAGAGUUCGUAGGUGGUUGAAAAAGUUAGUGGUGAAAUCCCAGAGCUUAACUCUGGAACUGCCAUUAAAACUUUUCAGCUAGAGUAUGAUAGUGGAAAGCAGAAUUUCUAGGGAAGAGGUCAAAUUCGUGGAUACUAGAGAGCCUCCAAUUGCGAAGGCUUCUUUCUGGAUCUUUACAGACAAUGAGAACAGAA